UUUUUGUUUUGUUUCGACUUCGGUUUCAUCGUACUUCGUCUCUUCCAUCCGCGCCGUUUCCUCUAAUCUUUCACAGUAAAGACAAUGAAUUCGUCUCUAAACUCUUAGUUUUCUCUAUUGUUCAACGUAUUUCUCUUUAUGUGUCCAAUAAAUGUUAUCGUUUAAUGCCGCCUCCUCCACAUCUCCAACACUCUUCGCUAAACCAUCUUCUCAAUUUCCCUUCUCCGACUCAAUCAAAGCAAUCACGACCCUCGCGAUCCUUGCCGGAGUCGUAACCAAAGCCCUUAUCCAGAAACUCUCCACCGCUGUGGUAACCUUAUCUCCACAGAUCCAAGCUUCUAUCUGAAUCUCCGGUCCUGCUGGUUAUCUCAACAUGCCGUUGACGGUGGUUGCGGCCGGUUUAUCCAAGGGGCUAGAUAUCUACAGUGUACUGAUGGUUAGAGUUUUGCUGAAUUGGUUCCCCCAACAUUCCUUGGGAUCGCCAGCCUUUGUCUGCCAUUAGAGAUCUAUGUGAUCCUUUACCUCAAUCUCUUCAGGAACAUUAUCCCUUUCGUCUUUGUGGUCUACUUGUCUUUAUGGGAGGAUGCUGCAUCAAUGUUUAGUGGUCUCCUAACCCCCAAUCUGUCAUGGUGGACACUACUGUUAACCCAAAAAUAUUUGGAGCUGGACUGGCCGUUUGAUUCUGGAAGGAAGAAGACAUAUUUGAGUCAGGAGAGAGGUCAAAGAACUCCAAAGUAUUCAGACCGGUUUUGGAAGAAGAGAUCAGGAAGAAGAAAGUGGAGCCGUGGUGCAAAGCGGUGGAGAGAACAUUCGAUCGAAUCUUAGGGGAUUUUCAAAACGUUUUUGAUUGAAAUUUCUCUGUUUUGUUAUACACUGUAGAUUGUUGACCAAAACGGACCCAAGAUUUAUCUGCUCUCACAUAGGUUGUUUAAGAGUGUGUGAUAGUAGAAGCAUGGCUAAAGAGGAGCAGAAAAAAAUGAAGACUAAGGCCGAUGAAAGGUUUCUCUUUCUCAAACAUCAAUAUUAUACAAGUUUUCUUUAUAUCCUUGGUCUCAGCAAGAUUAUGCUUCCCUUUAUUGGGUUGUGUUUUAAAAGCUGUCAUAAGUUUCACUAACUGAUAGUAAAUCAUUGGUGAGAUGGAAAAAAACAUUACAGGAAAUGCUUUGGGGGUUAACAAGAGCUGGCAUGGUGGCCUAUUUUGUGGUGCUGGUAGUGGUUGUGGCGGGGGUGGGGUGAUAGACGUCGUGGGAGCGUCAGCAAUGUAUGUGGCUUUAUGCAUGUGGAGCUAGCUUCCAUAUUUCUGUCACAUCAUUUUGUAUCUUUUUCAGUUUUGAUUAUUCUUUUCCUGAUAAUGAUUUAAUCCUACUUUUGGUUUUCCUUCCUUGGUGAGGAUAUGAUCUUUGUCAAGACUGAUGACUUCAGACUGAUUAUUUUGCAAGAAGGUUUAUAUCAAAGAGGAUGCAGAAAAUUAUGUUGUUGUUGCUUUCGAUGAACUCAAAGUAUUUGCUCGAGUUAGAUCCAUCACCAACCAAUAUAAACAUCAGGUUUUUCGUUCAGGACUAAAUAUAUUCUAACAAUUCACGUCCUCCAGAUCCAGGUUUCGUGGAUAGUGCCAUUUUUGUGGUCUUCGACAGAGAGACGAUGAAACUCAUCAAAAAGAGGCUGCAAGUCUGGGUCUUAAAGAGAUGAGUAGCGGUGAGGAAAUGGAGCUACCAAAAUGUCUUGAGGAGCUAGCUGGCAAUGAAUACGUUUUUCAUCUACUUGACUCCUUACAAUUUCACUCCAAAUCACCAUACGUUCACUGUGUCAGCAAUCAGUGAAGACCUCUUUACAUUUCAAUCCCACUUAGCUUUCGUUUCAUUUCAAUUGUCUAUUCCACAUGUUUUCUCUACUUCAAACUUUGGUUGUCUCUAUGAUUUGCUGUAACCUAUUUUUUACUGGUGCUAAAAUUACUAUGACUUUAGAUAAUAAAAGAAGCGUUAACAUGUCUUUACUUAA